rnacentral:lncRNA from 1 species
CUGCGCUUCCUUUAGCUCCACAGGCUUGCUGAAGUUCCUCAGAUGUUGUGGCGGAGAUGAAUUAUAUCUUGUCACUCCCUCUCUGUGACUGUGUAAUGGAUAUCUAAAUCCUGAUAUUCCAUCAACAAGUAGAAAGCACAGAUGAGAGGGAAACACCAAAUAAUUGAAGGAAUUCAGCACACUUUCCUGCUAAGGAAAUGUCACUGUUCCCUCAUCAUUUGCUGUAUAGAAUGUUUAUCUGGAUUCAUGAAAUCAAAUUUCAGUCCUGAAACUUUGAUAAACUAUAUUAAAUCAAUGUGCAAAGAUCAUCAUAAACACCUCAGGUAUGCCCUUUUAAGUCAAUCUUUAUGUUACCUAAAACUAAAGGCAGAUGCAGAGGGAUAA